UGCCAGCCGCCGCGGUAAUACGAAGGUGGCGAGCGUUGUUCGGAUUUACUGGGCGUAAAGAGCACGUAGGCGGUUGGGUAAGCCUCUUGAGAAAGCUCCCGGCUUAACCGGGAAAGGUCGAGGGGAACUACUCAGCUAGAGGACGGGAGAGGAGCGCGGAAUUCCCGGUGUAGCGGUGAAAUGCGUAGAUAUCGGGAAGAAGGCCGGUGGCGAAGGCGCAUUGUUAGAUCUUAGUCGACUUUGAGAGACGAAAGCAAGGGAAGCGAAUGGGAUUAGAUA
rnacentral:rRNA from 1 species